rnacentral:rRNA from 1 species
UGGGGAAUAUUGGACAAUGGGCGCAAGCCUGAUCCAGCCAUGCCGCGUGCAGGAUGACGGUCCUAUGGAUUGUAAACUGCUUUUGUACAGGAAGAAACAGUUCUACGUGUAGAACCUUGACGGUACUGUAAGAAUAAGGAUCGGCUAACUCCGUGCCAGCAGCCGCGGUAAUACGGAGGAUCCAAGCGUUAUCCGGAAUCAUUGGGUUUAAAGGGUCCGUAGGCGGUUAGAUAAGUCAGUGGUGAAAGCCCAUCGCUCAACGGUGGAACGGCCAUUGAUACUGUCUGACUUGAAUUAUUAGGAAGUAACUAGAAUAUGUAGUGUAGCGGUGAAAUGCUUAGAGAUUACAUGGAAUACCAAUUGCGAAGGCAGGUUACUACUAAUGGAUUGACGCUGAUGGACGAAAGCGUGGGUAGCGAACAGGAUUAGAUACCCACGUAGUCCCUGAGCGGGCUGGCAAGGCGCAU